CACGUAUUUAGCCGUUCCUUUCUGGUAAGAUACCGUCAACACAUUGAAUAGUUACUCUCAAUGUCAUUCUUCUCUUACAACAGUGUUUUACGAGCCGAAACCCUUCAUCACACACGCGGCGUUGCUCCAUCAGGCUUUCGCCCAUUGUGGAAGAUUCCCUACUGCUGCCUCCCGUAGGAGUAUGGGCCGUGUCUCAGUCCCAUUGUGGCCGAUCAGUCUCUCAACUCGGCUAUGCAUCAUCGUCUGGUGAGCCAUUACCUCACCAACUAACUAAUGCACCGCGGGACCAUCUCUAGUGAUAGCAGAACCAUCUUUAAGUAGCAACCAUGCGGUUGCUAUUGUUAUACGGUAUUAAGCAAUCUGUUUCCAAAUGUUAAUCCCCUGCUAAGAGGUAGGUUUCCCACGUGUUACUCACCCGUUCGCCACUCUUUGCAAUGUCAUCGCAUAUCUGAGCAAGCUCUCAAAUCAAGUUGAAACC
rnacentral:rRNA from 1 species